UACGGGGGGGGCAAGCGUUGUUCGGAAUUACUGGGCGUAAAGGGCUCGUAGGUGGCCAACUAAGUCAGACGUGAAAUCCCUCGGCUUAACCGGGGAACUGCGUCUGAUACUGGAUGGCUUGAGUUUGGGAGAGGGAUGCGGAAUUCCAGGUGUAGCGGUGAAAUGCGUAGAUAUCGGGAGGAACACCUGUGGCGAAAGCGGCUCACUGGACCACAACUGACGCUGAUGCGCGAAAGCUAGGGGAGCAAACAGG
rnacentral:rRNA from 1 species